UACGGAGGGUGCAAGCGUUAAUCGGAAUUACUGGGCAUAAAGAGCUCGUAGGCGGUGAGAAAAGUAGGGUGUGAAAUCCCUCGGCCCAACCGAGGAACUGCGCUCUAAACUGUCUUGCUUGAGGACCGAGGGGGACCACGGAAUUCCUGGUGGAGCGGUGAAAUGCGUUGAUAUCAGGAGGAACACCGGCGGCGAAGGCGGUGGUCUGGUCGGUUUCUGACGCUGAGGAGCGAAAGCUAGGGGAGCAAACGGGAUUAGAUA
rnacentral:rRNA from 1 species